UUUUAUUUUUAAAUUUUUAAUAUUUAUUUUCUAUUUUAUAAAAUUUUAAAGCUCAAACCCAAAUCCCCACUCCUUAACUCUAAACCCUAAGAUUUGGAUUAGUUAACCAUAAUGAUAUAAGUGUAUAUUUACCUCUUUAAUAAAAAAUUUUGGUCAUUUUGAUUCUUAGAGUCUAUAUUUGUGAUAUAAACUUUUUGAGUGAUAUCUUAGGGUAUUUUCCUUUAUAUUAUUUUGUUUUAACCAGAUUCUAGUGUUAUCUUUUUCUUUAUCAAAAUUAAAUUUUAUUUUAGUCACAUUUUUUUUGUCAACAAUAUAGUCACAUUUAUAACUAGAUUAAAUGGAGACCAAAAUCAGACGUGUUAGCAUUUGAAACAAAAUUAGAAAGGUAAAUAUUGUUAUGAGCUUUUCCAAAAAGAGAUACAUGUUUGGAAGCAACUUUUAUUUACAAAUAUUAAUUUGUAAAUACCAACACAUAAAAUUAUAAUUAUUAUAUAUGAUCCAUCAGUUUUAUUUGUAUUUGGUUUGUAAAUAAUUCUUCUUUCAAAUAUUUUUAUUUUUUUUUGAAUAUAACAUAACAAAAAGUAAAAUAUAAUAUAAUAUAAUAUAAAAAGUCAAACUUUUAUUGAAAUUUUUUGAUCGAAAGAUUUUAAAAAUUUGAAGCUUGUAUAAAGAUCACUUAGAUAAAUGUCUGAUUUAGAAUUAAAAAAAAAGAUAUUUAGUUCAAUAGACAUAGUAGAGACCCAAAUUAGCACAUCUCGGUUUGCUCGGACCAUUAUACCCCUCCAUUAUGAUGAAAAAACCAGGUUCGUACACUGGUGUGGCAGGUCGUCUGAAAUAUUUGUCAGUCAUGUGGAAUGGUUUUCGAGGUCGUAGGUUCUCAGGUGGCCUACUUCUGCUUCAUUAGCACUCAUAAACAUUGCAUUAUCUCUUCUUCCUUUUUCUUGCUACAUUUUUUCUCCGUUAAACAUUCCACUCUUUUCUUUUUUCUUGCUACAAUUUUUCUCCGUAAAACAUUGCAUUCUCUCAUCUUUUCAUAAUACAAUUUUAGUUGGAGAUAUAAAUUUGGUCUCUGGAAAAGCUUGCCGACUUCCGUAAAUUCUGUAGCGUUUGAUGAAAAAGCGUAAAUCUACAGUAAUAAACUUAUGGAAAUGAAAACUUGACAACUACUUUUUUUGUGUUUACGAUGAAUCACACUAGAACUCAUGAAUGGAAUUGACCAUCAGAUACUUUACAAGUUAUUAAUGAGUUAACAAAUUUUUAACAUGUUACAAAAUUUAUUAGCGAGUAAACAAAAUUUUAACAUGUUAUAAACUUUGUUAUCGAGUUAUAUCUUUAUAUAUAAAAGAUAGUUUGCUCUCUCCUGGUGAAGCCACCUAGGAUCCACAUAGGAAAGUCGAGUACUUACGUUUUGACACGUGUCUUUCUAAGUCGCACGCUGCGUUUCAUUAUUAAAUGAUGUGUGCAAUUUGUUUGGACUAGGGACUUUACCGGUUUCAAUUGUUGGGCUUCAAAGUAUGUUAUUUUGGGCUGUUGUAAACAAAAGCGUUACAUUAACGUCUUCAUCAAUGGCGACCAUCGACAUCUAGGGUUCAUGCCUUCUUCUAGCUCUGAUCAGUUCAGCCAACAAUGGAGAUAGGGAGGGUUAUGUGAGACAAAUAUUCACGAUGAAUCUCUGGAUCUAGAUACCUUCGUGUCCUUUCGCUUGAGUUGUCCCAGAACCGUUACGAAGUGCAUUGAUUCAUUCCCACCGUCUUAACUUCUUUGACCCAAUCCAAGCACGACUCCUUUCUUCUAAGGUGGUUCUUCAACUAUAAAUAGGUGAGGCUUCAUCCCGUGAAUAUCAUCUCUACUAAUCCUAAUAACUCUUGAGACUUUUUUACAGUGGAAUGAUUUUGGUUACGUUUAUUGAUUUGGUUUUUGUUUGUUGAUGUAAGACUGGGUAUCUUAUUUUAAUUUAGAAAGCUUUAGUUAGGAUUUAGUUUUUUUAUUUGGUGAUGUAAGAUGAUUUUGAUUAUGUAUACUGAUUUAAAAAACUUUAUAUGAUUUUGGUUUUGUGUAUUGAUUUUGUUUUUGUUUGUUAAUGUAAGAUUAUUUUGGUUCCAUUUAUUGAUUAAAAAAGCUUAAAUCUUGACACCGUGUGGAAUUAAGAGUUGCUGAUGAGGCUGACGAUGCUGUUUUGAUACUCUGUAUUUUAUAGGCUGGAGUUGUUGAGAACACAGAAGAUAAUCAUCCUCUGUUUACACUGCAAAGCAUCAGACCUUCACAGCCUCACGCACUUUCGACGAGCGUCAGCGUCUUCGAGUUCCUGAUAUGGAGGCAACGGUGGUCUAGGAGAUGAUAUGAACAGUGGAAGCUCAACUUAAGUUCAAUCUAAAACUGUAAGCCCUUUUUCAUUUUGGAGCAAUGCUAUUUAUUCCAUUUUGCAGUCACUAUUGGUGCUAUUGGACAAAGGUGAAACUGUUCACUGAAUGAUAAAGGUUCAAGCAAUUAAAUGCUAUUCAGAGAAAUACAUGUUUCACUUCCCAUGAGUCAUUUUGAAGCUUCAUUGAGAACAUAUUUCAGGUUUACCCUAUUGUCAAAUGAUUUUAUACUAAUGUGUUACGUACUGCAUAUAACUGAUCGUAUGGAGUGUUAGAAAAUAAUUAUGAAAGUGGUCUUUAAAUCCCCAUAGUAGCUUGAGCUGUACCUAAGUGAGAAAACCAAGUUCCAACACUUUUUUUUGCUGGACAGGUAUGGAAGAUUCGACCAGCCCAUUGAUUGGAAAUUUAUAACCCAUGAAUCAGUUUCUAACUCAUAUAUUGUUUUCUAUUCAAGGUUAUGAAAAAUGUCAAAAGAUAAAAGCAAACCCUGCUUUAUUUAACAAGAUUCUCCUAAAGGAGGUCAAUGGCAAGGAGUGAUUGAAGCUUCAAGUUAUGUACAAGCUCCAUCAAUCUGACAUAUCUUGAGUAAAACAAAACACAGAAUUGUAGAUUGGAUUAGUGAAAGUUUUAUCUUCACUUACCAUUGUUCCUUAGAUUUCUUAUACUAACUUUUUGUUUCUCAAAUGAGAGAAAACUGAGAUCUCGCAUUUUGUGAAUUUGAAAGAACUCAAAAUGCCUCGACUCUCAAUCAGAAACGGAAAAGGAACAGAGAACAACUCAAAAUGCAUUUAAGGUUCAUUGUGCAGGCGUUGUUGUAAAGGAAUAUUAAAAUUGGGACUGCAUUUUCAUCAAAAUAUUGUCUACCACCUGCUGAGUUUCAAGCCAAUCAAGCUUAAGUGGCAGCAGUUGCCAUCUACUGCAGUCUUAGGAAUCCAAAGCACUUAGAUGGUUCCAAAAUAAGUAUAACCUAAACAUGUUUUUAAACAACUAAAAAAAUAAAUUUUUGAAUAUUAAUAUUAAUAUUUUCAUAUUUGAAGACUAUUUUAAGAGAACAAACUUAAUAAUACUAUUUUUCAUAAAGACAUAUGUCACAUUAUUUUAAUUUAAAUUUCAAUAGCUUACAAAUGUUGUUUUCAAAUUUUUGUCUACUAUUUAAAUUAUGUUUAAAAUGUUUUUAACUUAUUUUCUAACAAAUAAAAAUGAUAUAUAUAUAUAUAUAUAUAUAUAUAUAUAUAUCAUCUGUUUAAUUUAAAAAGUAUACCAUUAAUUAAUGUUUAUAUGCCAUCAAUUGCUAGGUUACUUCUUGUUGGUUUUACUUGAACUUGCCAAAGCAACAUAAUUGAUUAUUAUUAUUUUUUUUUGUUUGAUUUUUUAAAAAUAAAAAAUAAAUAAAAAAAUAAAUAAUCGAAUCAAUCGCAAACCGCCACGUGGUGUGGGACCUGCUAAACAGUGAUGAAACGGAUUCACAAGGAAGCACUUCUGCGAUACAGGCUCAUAAAAUCAAUGGGGUCCCUAAUGGGGAUGCUCUAAUACCCCUAGCGUUAAUUAAUAUAGAGUUAGGGUUUAGAGUUGAAGGGGGACAGAGUUUUUGGAAUAUGAAAUUUAAGAUUCCAAUAAAUAUAUAAAUAAAUACUUAAAAAAUAUAAAAAAAAAUUUUAAAGUAGCUUCAAACAUAAUUUUCGAUUUUCAAAAAGAAAAUUUUCAAAAAUAAAAAAAAAAUAAAAAGAAAGUUUAUAAACAAUUUUGAAUUUGGAAAAGUAUAAUUCGAAAACAUAAAAAAAAAGGAAAGGUAGUCGAUAGGUUGUUAUAUGUUUUCAACUUAAUUACUAUGUUUCUUCUUUUCCUUAGGUUCUCAUCAGCAUCUGUCAAUUAUUUUAGAUUAAUAAAGUUAAUGUUAUGUUUUUGGUAUGGCAUGUGAGUUUUUUGGAUUGAGUCCAGCAGCAGCAGAUCCCAAGGGUUUAACAAGUUUAAGUGCAGUUGGCGGCAAGAUGAAACAAUUAGAUAUGUAGGUUUAACAACAAGAUCUGAGAAAUAAUUUUAGGAAUGAAGAGGAAAAUAAAAAAAAAAGCUUUAAAACAGAGGACAAAGCGUUGA